GUGGGGAAUAUUGGGCAAUGGGCGAAAGCCUGACCCAGCAACGCCGCGUGAGGGAAGAAGGCCUUCGGGUUGUAAACCUCUGUCCUUGGUGACGAAGAAAGUGACGUUAGCCAAGGAGGAAGCCCCGGCUAACUACGUGCCAGCAGCCGCGGUAAUACGUAGGGGGCGAGCGUUGUCCGGAAUUACUGGGCGUAAAGGGUGCGUAGGUGGCCUUUUAAGUUGGAUGUGAAAUACCCGGGCUUAACUUGGGAGGUGCAUCUAAUACUGGGAGGCUAGAGUGCAGGAGAGGGAAGCGGAAUUCCUAGUGUAGCGGUGAAAUGCGUAGAUAUUAGGAGGAACACCAGUGGCGAAGGCGGCUUUCUGGACUGUAACUGACACUGAGGCACGAAAGCGUGGGGAGCAAACAGGAUUAGAUACCCGUGUAGUCC
rnacentral:rRNA from 1 species